GUCACUGUUAAAGGGACGAGCACUGUGGAAGUCACUGUUAAAGGGGCGGGCACUGUGGAAGUCACUGUUAAAGGGGAGGCCACUAUGAAGGUCACUGUUAAAGGGGCGGGCACUGUGGAAGUCACUGUUAAAGGGGAGGCCACUAUGAAGGUCACUGUUAAAG